AUUCACCACUAGGGAAGCUCGGCCUAAUGGGCUGAGAUGCAUUUACGCAUACCAUUGGAACCUGAACUAGCAAUACUAGCAACGGGAAGUGGGUAGUUAUUGUA
rnacentral:ncRNA from 1 species